rnacentral:rRNA from 1 species
AUACUUAGUGGCAGACGGGUGAGUAACAUGAGGUAUCUACCCUAUGGCCUGGAAUAACACGAGGAAACUUGUGCUAAUACUGGAUAAGUCUUUACAGAGAAAGCUUUAUGCACCAUUGGAUGAGCCUGCACUUGAUUAGUUUGUUGGUGGGGUAAUGGCCUACCAAGACUGUGAUCAAUAGCUGAUUUGAGAGGAUGAUCAGCCACAUUGGGACUGAGACACGGCCCAAACUCCUACGGGAGGCAGCAGUGGGGAAUCUUGCACAAUGGAGGAAACUCUGAUGCAGCGAUGCCGCGUGAGUGAAGAAGGCCCUUGGGUUGUAAAGCUCUUUCGUCGGGGAAGAAAAUGACUGUACCCGAAUAAUAAGGUCCGGCUAACUUCGUGCCAGCAGCCGCGGUAAUACGAAGGGACCUAGCGUAGUUCGGAAUUACUGGGCUUAAAGAGUUCGUAGGUGGUUGAAAAAGUUAGUGGUGAAAUCCCAGAGCUUAACUCUGGAACUGCCAUUAAAACUUUUCAGCUAGAGUAUGAUAGAGGAAAGCAGAAUUUCUAGUGUAGAGGUGAAAUUCGUAGAUAUUAGAAAGAAUACCAAUUGCGAAGGCAGCUUUCUGGAUCAUUACUGACACUGAGGAACGAAAGCAUGGGUAGCGAAGAGGAUUAGAUACCCUCGUAGUCCAUGCCGUAAACGAUGUGUGUUAGACGUUGGAAAUUUAUUUUCAGUGUCGCAGGGAAACCGAUAAACACACCGC